GCGAAAUUAUGCCAUCUCACCAUUUAUAUUCCCUCCCUAAGUUUAUCGACAAUUCGAUUUUAUCCUGUGAAGUGCUUGGCUCAAUCUCUUUGCUCCCGCUCCUUUGCGAUUUAUGUGCGCAGGCUUUCAAUAAAAAAUAAAAAUAUAUUUCAUUUUGCAUUAACUUGACGAAGAGAAGAAGACAAAGAGCCAACCGAAAAAAAUGUUUGAAUAUCGAAGCAGGACUCGAGACUCCUUCAGGUUAAAUAUGGCAAAAAGAAUGUGUGCACAAAUUGGCUGUCCAUUUGCGUCCGCUUUGUUCAUACAUAAUUAGAUUUCCGUUUCUCUAACUCUAAACAAUUUCCCCAUUUUCGCAACUUUUUCAUUGCUGCCCAAGGCAAUUCCUAUUUAAUUGGCUGUCUAAUACUUGGAUGGUUUCCCAUUCUCUCCGCUGUUCCCUUAAAAGUUCGCCAAUGAAAUUUCAAGCUAUAAUUUACCAACAAUUUAAAUGUUUCCUAGGGGUUCCCAACAGCCGGAACCUUUGACUUUUGACAUUUAUAGGUGAAUAAGAAUAUUUUAUUUGAGGCCUUUAUUACUUCUCAUAUUAAAAGCAUAUAUUUUCAUGUUUUCCGUUCUGUGUAUCUACUAAACCGGAGAUGUGAUCAUUAAAACCGAAUGAAAUUCAUAAGAGGGGCUCAACUUGGAAAUUAUUGCCAACCAUUAAUAUUUUCCUACGGACUGUUUCUUGAUGCCAAAACUUUUUCGAUGCUAGCAAGAAAACCAACAGCAAAAGAUAGGCAAACAAUUUCUAAUUGCCCUCCAAGGACUCCUUGGUAUCCUCGAGGAUUUGGACAUCUACAUAAAAAAUGAUUUGCUACAAAUUAAAAAUUACCCAACUGAGGCGUUCUGCAAACAAAAGAUAGAAAGCAGAAAACUUGAACCGUUUAAUUGGCAACAUUUUUCAAUGCAUUGAUAGAGGAAGGACAAUAAGAAAAACAGGAUGCAGAGUGCCGUUGGACAGGGGAAAUAAAAUAGAAAUUCGCGGUCCUUCAACCCUCCGCCAUCACCUUCUGUUGCUGUCAAUAAUUAGAGCUGGGAAUUUCCUCCGUUUCCUUGGGUUUUCCCAAAUAGAUUCCGGUCCCCCGGCUGGCACGCGGAUUACUCGGAACGUGGCUGCUAAGCGCCUCUAAUGCCACUUGGCUGCCAGGAAUGGGGCAACAAGGAGCUCACUUCCGCCUGGUUGGAGUGUAGGUUGGUCCUUUGUUUUGGACUUGGACCAGUUAGCAGUCUCUGGCCAUUUCUUUUCAUUAUUUGCCGGCUUUAGUGUUGACUUAUGUUGCUGCCCAUUGACUUCGCACAUGCUUUGAGUGGAAAAUCACACAGGCCGUGUAAUGAUUUCAUUCACUUUUAGGCUUUCUAUUUGGCUAAAAAUAUAUACAUUUGUUUUUUGACUUUAAAUUAAAAAAGAUUACAGUCUGCA